rnacentral:rRNA from 1 species
AUGAUUGAGAAACUGAACAAAACCAGCGUCUCCUACAAACCCAGUAACCUGGAAGAGGACGAAGAGAAUCUGUACGGAGGCAUUAAUGAGUCUUCAAACGAUGUUGGACGUCCACAAAAAGAGUUUGUAUAUCAAAAAGAUGAUUCAGACCGGUUCCGCACACCUUCCAAAAUGAAUUUGCAAAAGGAUGAUAACGGUGUUGAUGUAACUUCUCGUGAAAACACACCUUUUUACUGCACACCUGAGUACUGGGAUAGUUUCAAGGGUGAUAUGGAUGAUCCUGUCCAAGUACCAGAAGUAUCAGAUGAAAAAGCUGCCACAUCUUUAGAGACGGACGAAAUCGCAUCGCAUGCGUCGGUUGGUUCUCAAGGAGUACAAGAGGAAGUGGAGGAGGUUACUGGCAGGCGCAAGCGCAGAGGAUCACAACAUGUCAAGUCUCCUUAUGUGGUCCCUAAACCAAACAAACGUGCAAAACGUUCUGCCAAAGGAAGUAAGUUUUCUGUGUUUCUAAUUGUUAUUGCGUAA